AGAGUUUGAUCCUGGCUCAGGAUGAACGCUAGCGGCAGGCUUAACACAUGCAAGUCGAGGGGCAGCGAGGGGAGCAAUACCUGUCGGCGACCGGCGCAAGGGGGUGCGUAACGCGUGAGCAACAUGCCCGUAUCAGGGGGAUAAUCCAGGGAAACUUGGUCUAAUACCCCAUAGUAAUAUUUUCAGGCAUCUGGGGAUAUUUAAAGCUUUGGUGGAUACGGAUUGGCUCGCGUGACAUUAGCUGGAUGGUAGGGUAACGGCCUACCAUGGCUACGAUGUCUAGGGGUUCUGAGAGGAAGAUCCCCCACACUGGAACUGAGACACGGUCCAGACUCCUACGGGAGGCAGCAGUGGGGAAUUUUGCGCAAUGGGCGAAAGCCUGAACCAGCCAUGCCGCGUGAAGGAUGAAGGCCUUAUGGGUUGUAAACUUCUUUUAUACGGGAAUAAACUUAGCUAUGUAUAGCUAACUGCAGGUACCGUAUGAAUAAGCAUCGGCUAACUCCGUGCCAGCAGCCGCGGUAAUACGGAGGGUGCAAGCGUUAUCCGGAUUUAUUGGGUUUAAAGGGUGCGUAGGCGGUCUAUUAAGUCAGUGGUGAAAUAUUCGGGCUCAACCGGGAUACUGCCAUUGAUACUGUAUAGCUGGAAUAUGGUUGCUGUGAGUGGAAUGUGUGGUGUAGCGGUGAAAUGCAUAGAGAUCACACAGAAUAUCGAUUGCGAAGGCAACUCACAAAGCCAUUAUUGACGCUGAUGCACGAAAGUGUGGGGAUCAAACAGGAUUAGAUACCCUGGUAGUCCACACUGUAAACGAUGAUAACUAGCUGUCGGCGAUACACAGUCGGUGGCCAAGCGAAAGCGAUAAGUUAUCCACCUGGGGAGUACGACCGCAAGGUUGAAACUCAAAGGAAUUGACGGGGGCCCGCACAAGCGGAGGAACAUGUGGUUUAAUUCGAUGAUACGCGAGGAACCUUACCCGGGCUUAAAUGUAGGCUGCAUUCGGCUGAAAGGCUGAUUCCCUUCGGGGCUGCUUACAAGGUGCUGCAUGGUUGUCGUCAGCUCGUGCCGUGAGGUGUCGGCUUAAGUGCCAUAACGAGCGCAACCCUUGUCGUUAGUUACCAUCAAGUAAAGUUGGGGACUCUAGCGAGACUGCCACCGUAAGGUGUGAGGAAGGGGGGGAUGACGUCAAAUCAGCACGGCCCUUACGUCCGGGGCGACACACGUGUUACAAUGGUAGGUACAGAGGGCCGCUAUCCAGCGAUGGAAUGCUAAUCUCAAAAACCUAUCUCAGUUCGGAUCGGAGUCUGCAACUCGACUCCGUGAAGUUGGAUUCGCUAGUAAUCGCGCAUCAGCCAUGGCGCGGUGAAUACGUUCCCGGGCCUUGUACACACCGCCCGUCA
rnacentral:rRNA from 1 species